AUGCUCACUUCAGCAACACUACUAAAAUUGGAACCAUACAGAGAAGAAUGCAUGACCCCCGUGCAAACAGGACAUGCAAAUUUGUGAUGUGUUGAUUAAAAAG
rnacentral:snRNA from 1 species